GAUGAACGCUGGCGGCGUGCUUAACACAUGCAAGUCGAACGAAGCACUUUAUUUGAUUUCCUUCGGGACUGAUUAUUUUGUGACUGAGUGGCGGACGGGUGAGUAACGCGUGGGUAAUCUGCCUUGUACAGGGGGAUAACAGUUGGAAACGGCUGCUAAUACCGCAUAAGCGCACGGCAUCGCAUGAUGCAGUGUGAAAAACUCCGGUGGUAUAAGAUGGACCCGCGUUGGAUUAGCUAGUUGGUGAGGUAACGGCCCACCAAGGCGACGAUCCAUAGCCGACCUGAGAGGGUGACCGGCCACAUUGGGACUGAGACACGGCCCAAACUCCUACGGGAGGCAGCAGUGGGGAAUAUUGCACAAUGGGCGAAAGCCUGAUGCAGCGACGCCGCGUGAGCGAAGAAGUAUUUCGGUAUGUAAAGCUCUAUCAGCAGGGAAGAUAAUGACGGUACCUGACUAAGAAGCACCGGCUAAAUACGUG
rnacentral:rRNA from 1 species